UCGGAACAAACAACUAUAUAGUGGAAAGACAAAGAAAUGUAGAGAAACGAUCUAUCUAAAUGUUGAUACGUAUACACUACACGGUCGAGACAAAUUUUACGAGCAUACUAUUGGCAGAAUAGCAUAAGACUGCAAAGUUUUUGACAGUCUUUUUCGACAUUUAAACAAAAAAAACUAAAAUAUACAACUCUUCUUAUGGAAAAUCGUAACCUUGCGAUUCUAUAUCAAAUAAAGAAGAAUACUUACUACGUGAUAAACGAUAAAAGGAUAAUCGAGGAAAAAAUUUUGAUGAGAUUACGUGCCAUUUGUGUGUGUGGUGUUGAAUCUUCUAAGACGAAUUCUUUACUUCCUCCUAUCCUUUUCGCGUUAAACGUGAAACUCGUCAAAAAAGCGAAACACACGAAACGAAUUUAGGGUUCGCUUGAAAGUGCACGUAGCACAAUGAAAGGAGCUUCAUACGAUCAGCAGCUUCAACGUCGUCCGAUGUAUCACACAGUUUUGCGAACAAGAAUAUAACUAACGGAGAGAAACACUAUCCAGCGCAGGUUUCUUUAACGUUCAAACGAAGCUUACAUAUUUUACGAAGUUUACGUCGAACUCGAAGAUGGAUCGAUCUCGAAGUUAUUCUCCAAGUCAACGAUUACAUUGCAAUUCGACGAAGAAAAAAAAGGGAAAAAAAACGCGAAUUAUAUCUCGGAAGAAAGAGAAAAAGAAAAAAGAAAAGAAAAGAAAAGAAAAAAG